GCCAGUGUGGUAUAGUGGCUUGAGUGUUGGACUAUGACUGCAACUCUGGAGAUGAGGGUUCAAAUCCCCACUCAGUCA